GACGAACCACACAAACGUUAUUCGGAAUUACUGGGCUUAAAGGGUGCGUAGGCGGCGCAGAAAGUAGGGUGUGAAAUCCCUCGGCUCAACCGAGGAACUGCGUCCGAUACUGGCAGGCUGGAAUCCGGGAGAGGGAUGUGGAAUUCCAGGUGUAGCGGUGAAAUGCGUAGAUAUCUGGAGGAACACCGGUGGCGAAGGCGGCAUCCUGGACCGGUAUUGACGCUGAGGCGCGAAAGCUAGGGGAGCAAACGGG
rnacentral:rRNA from 1 species